UAAAAUCAAUAAACUUUAUUGAAAGCAAUGGAAACAAACUACACAAAACCAAACCAACCCCAACAAAGCCAACCCACCCCUAAAAAGAAGAAAAAGAAAAAAAAAUGAAAAAGAAAGUGAAAAAGAAAAAGAAAACAAACAAAAGACCUAUGGGUAGUAGAUAUUAAAAGACUGGCCUGUAAAACCUUGCACAGCUCUGCACGAACCAUCUGUAAGGAUAAGAGCAGUCCAUAUAAGCCAAGGAAGGAGUCCACUCUCCCCAUUGCCCUCAGGGAGUGUGUGUCCUCUGUAGUGAAGCCUAGUCCUAGUGUCCCGUGGGAUUUCCUGGGGUCCACUGGAGCCAGUCACUUGGUGUGACCCUUCUUUUGGGGUUAUCUUUAGGCUCCUUGUUGUUGAGGAGUCACUAUUGGCCUCUCCAUCUGUCCCUGUAGCAGAGUCUCUCACUUUCAGGGCUGAUUUCCUAAUCCCCGGGCCCUGGAGAAGGCACUUCAUUAUUAUCCCCACCUGCAAUCAAUCCUUAUAGUUAGCGAGACACCUUGCAUUCCGGGAAGUCACUGGAGUUGGGUUUUUGAUGCACAUCCUUGCUGGGAUGGGUCACUUCUCCAGUUCCAAAUCGGGUCUCUUCAGGACUUUGGCCUCUCGGGUUUCUAGAAGCAAGAGGUACUGUCGGGGAUCAGAGCAUAUCUAGAAGAGUCUGAUAUUCUUCUGGAGUGAGAGGCAUUGCCCUCAGGGAGUGUGUGUCCUCUGUAGUGAAGCCUAGUCCUAGUGUCCCGUGUGAUUUCCUGGGGUCCACUGGAGCCAGUCACUUGGUGUGGCCCUUCUUUUGGGGUUAUCUUUAGGCUCCUUGUUGUUGAGGAGUCACUAUUGGCCUCUCCAUCUGUCCCUGUAGCAGACAGAGUCUCUCACUUUCAGGGCUGAUUUCCUAAUCCCCGGGCCCUGGAGAAGGCACUUCAUUAUUAUCCCCACCUGCAAUCAAUCCUUAUAGUUAGCGAGACACCUUGCAUUUCGGGAAGUCACUGGAGUUGGGUUUUUGAUGCACAUCCUUGCUGGGAUGGGUCCCUUCUCCAGUUCCAAAUCGGGUCUCUUCAGGACUUUGGCCUCUCGGGUUUCUAGAAGCAAGGGGUACUGUCAGGGAGUCAGAGCAUAUCUAGAAGAGUCUGAUAUUCUUCUGGAGUGAGAGGCAGAUCAGGUGUUGUGUCCAUUUGCUCCCAUGUUUCCUCCACAUUCACAGGGGCAGGCCCCUGCUCCUCAAGUUGGACUUCGGUCAGCAGUUGAUCAAGGAAGAGCUCCAG
rnacentral:lncRNA from 1 species